AUGUUUGAAACAACUAAUUGUAAUCAGUUUCGACCUGAUAUUUAAGUUAAUUUUAACUCAAACAUU
rnacentral:tRNA from 1 species